AGACCCGAAACCCGGUGAUCUAGCCAUGGGCAGGUUGAAGGUUGGGUAACACUAACUGGAGGACCGAACCGACUAAUGUUGAAAAAUUAGCGGAUGACCUGUGGCUGGGGGUGAAAGGCCAAUCAAACCGGGAGAUAGCUGGUUCUCCCCGAAAGCUAUUUAGGUAGCGCCUCGUGAAUUCAUCUCCGGGGGUAGAGCACUGUUUCGGCUAGGGGGCCAUCCCGGCUUACCAACCCGAUGCAAACUGCGAAUACCGGAGAAUGUUAUCACGGGAGACACACGGCGGGUGCUAACGUCCGUCGUGAAGAGGGAAACAACCCAGACCGCCAGCUAAGGUCCCAAAGUCAUGGUUAAGUGGGAAACGAUGUGGGAAGGCCCAGACAGCCAGGAUGUUGGCUUAGAAGCAGCCAUCAUUUAAAGAAAGCGUAAUAGCUCACUGGUCGAGUCGGCCUGCGCGGAAGAUGUAACGGGGCUAAACCAUGCACCGAAGCUGCGGCAGCGACGCUGAUGCGUUGUUGGGUAGGGGAGCGUUCUGUAAGCCUGUGAAGGUGUGUCGUGAGGCAUGCUGGAGGUAUCAGAAGUGCGAAUGCUGACAUAAGUAACGAUAAAGCGGGUGAAAAGCCCGCUCGCCGGAAGACCAAGGGUUCCUGUCCAACGUUAAUCGGGGCAGGGUGAGUCGACCCCUAAGGCGAGGCCGAAAGGCGUAGUCGAUGGGAAACGGGUUAAUAUUCCCGUACUUGGUGUUACUGCGAAGGGGGGACGGAGAAGGCUAUGUUGGCCGGGCGACGGUUGUCCCGGUUUAAGCGUGUAGGUGUGUGUUCCAGGUAAAUCCGGUUCACUUUAACACUGAGGCGUGAUGACGAGGCACUACGGUGCUGAAGCAACAAAUGCCCUGCUUCCAGGAAAAGCCUCUAAGCAUCAGGUAACAUCAAAUCGUACCCCAAACCGACACAGGUGGUCAGGUAGAGAAUACCAAGGCGCUUGAGAGAACUCGGGUGAAGGAACUAGGCAAAAUGGUGCCGUAACUUCGGGAGAAGGCACGCUGACACGUAGGUGAAGUGAUUUACUCACGGAGCUGAAGUCAGUCGAAGAUACCAGCUGGCUGCAACUGUUUAUUAAAAACACAGCACUGUGCAAACACGAAAGUGGACGUAUACGGUGUGACGCCUGCCCGGUGCCGGAAGGUUAAUUGAUGGGGUCAGCGCAAGCGAAGCUCCUGAUCGAAGCCCCGGUAAACGGCGGCCGUAACUAUAACGGUCCUAAGGUAGCGAAAUUCCUUGUCGGGUAAGUUCCGACCUGCACGAAUGGCGUAAUGAUGGCCAGGCUGUCUCCACCCGAGACUCAGUGAAAUUGAACUCGCUGUGAAGAUGCAGUGUACCCGCGGCAAGACGGAAAGACCCCGUGAACCUUUACUAUAGCUUGACACUGAACAUUGAGCCUUGAUGUGUAGGAUAGGUGGGAGGCUUUGAAGUGUGGACGCCAGUCUGCAUGGAGCCGACCUUGAAAUACCACCCUUUAAUGUUUGAUGUUCUAACGUGGACCCGUAAUCCGGGUUGCGGACAGUGUCUGGUGGGUAGUUUGACUGGGGCGGUCUCCUCCUAAAGAGUAACGGAGGAGCACGAAGGUUGGCUAAUCCUGGUCGGACAUCAGGAGGUUAGUGCAAUGGCAUAAGCCAGCUUGACUGCGAGCGUGACGGCGCGAGCAGGUGCGAAAGCAGGUCAUAGUGAUCCGGUGGUUCUGAAUGGAAGGGCCAUCGCUCAACGGAUAAAAGGUACUCCGGGGAUAACAGGCUGAUACCGCCCAAGAGUUCAUAUCGACGGCGGUGUUUGGCACCUCGAUGUCGGCUCAUCACAUCCUGGGGCUGAAGUAGGUCCCAAGGGUAUGGCUGUUCGCCAUUUAAAGUGGUACGCGAGCUGGGUUUAGAACGUCGUGAGACAGUUCGGUCCCUAUCUGCCGUGGGCGCUGGAGAACUGAGGGGGGCUGCUCCUAGUACGAGAGGACCGGAGUGGACGCAUCACUGGUGUUCGGGUUGUCAUGCCAAUGGCACUGCCCGGUAGCUAAAUGCGGAAGAGAUAAGUGCUGAAAGCAUCUAAGCACGAAACUUGCCCCGA
rnacentral:rRNA from 1 species